rnacentral:rRNA from 1 species
GCGACCCCAGUCAGUGCCUGAUAGCGGGAG